rnacentral:miRNA from 1 species
GAAAUGCCUCCAUGAGAUCCAGCUGUAAGGUAUUUUCUCAAUUAGUGAUCAAUUGGGGGAGGAUCGAGCCCUUUGUGGAUGGUGCUAUCCCUGGGCUGGUAGUCCUG